AGGCCGUGACUUGUCCCACCUAAUGACAAUGUCUGCUCAAAGCUAAUGGAAUUAUUUUGAGGUCAAAGUUUGUUUCAUAAAAUCUUUAUAUCCAAUUAAUUAUACUUUUAAUUAAGGGGUUAAAGAAAGAAUACUAAUAUUGGUUGUAGCACUGAUGUCAUAUACUAUGAAGGUAGUUAGGUUUGACAAUACUUUUAUAUUUGAUGUGGCUAUGAAUUUUCAUUCAAUCUCACCCGACACAAAUCAACUAAAAUAACCACUGUCCUAAUCUUUGUUCGAGUCAUGAGCACGUCAGUUUGUAUUACCUUGGUUUUUCUUGCUUCUCAUCUUAUGCGUGUGUUGAUACAUAUAUUAGAUUGUAAGAGAUGUAUAUAUAUAUAUAUAUAUAAAAUUUUAGAUUUUGCAUAUGGAUAUUGGACAGCAUGACAUGUUAAAAACGUGGCUUUUAUAGUACAUUCAGAUUGGCAUAUUGGUGGUAAAGCUCUGAGAACAUUGUGAAAAUAGAGGAGACAAAACAUUGUGGCAUAUUUAUCAUGUUCUGUUUACUUGUAUUCAGCAGCUGAAGCAAGUCCUAUUAUAACAAGCUCAACAUGUUUUUGAUUUCAUCUAUAAGUAUUGAAGGCUAAUGGGUUUAUAAAAUUCAUGUGAAAAUGCUGGAUUGGUGUUAAAAGACGAAUACUGAAUUUUGUACUGGAGGACUAGAAUAUGGAAUAACAUCAAGAACACAGAGUUAAGGGUAUUUUUCUAGUAUAUAUUAUGAUUGGCGUUACUUCUUAUUUCUCAAUAUCUAUACAAUCAGACUCUUCAGGUUCAGGGGCAGCUUGUUUUGUGUAGACCAGCUGUUGUUGCACUCUUCCCCUGGAGAGCUUUAUGAUUAGGUGGAUAAAUAGAUCACAAUAAGGUGGCAAAGUUGGGGCUCACGCCAAUCUAAUGUAUAAUCUUAAUUGGUGUUCUUCUUUGUCCCCUAAGUUUGGAGAAUUUUCUUGCAAUGGGUCAUGAUCUCCUUUCCAGCAAUGAAAUUUUUAUUUUUCAAGGAAAAAUUAAACUGUUGGAAAGUUCUUAUAUUUAAUUUAAUCUUCUCCAAGUUCUGCGAGAUGACAGUAAGAGAACUAUGAAUGUAUACGACAAACCUAAUUUUCAAUUUUCAAAUGUACCAAAUAGAAAAAAAAAUUGCCAAACAGAAGGGUACUUGCUUUAGGCUCAUAUAUUCAAAGAGUAAGAAGGAUGGGUACAAUGUGAAAUAACAGAAGAAUGGGUACACAGGUGGAAGAACAUGCACCAAUCAAAGUUCCACGGUGGAAACGUAAUUGUCAGUGCGGAAGAGAAAUCAAUUCCCUCCAUCAUUAUACCACUAAUCGCUUUUGCUAAUCUUUUUCUUUCUUUUGCCCCAUUUGGCCGUUUCACCUUAUCUUAUCAUCCUCUUCCUUGCAAAGAAAGCACCUUUCUUUAUUGCUUUCAACUCGAAGAAUCUUAUACACUGUAUCCUCCAUUUCAAUUGUGCAUUUUUUGGAUCUAUAAAAGCCGUUGAGCUGGUGCUUACCGGUGCUCGUGUUUUAUUUUCACCAUUUAUGUGUUGUGCCUGGAAUUUUCUGGAACUUUGUUUUUCCAUUUUCUGGUUGCUUUGAAAGAUUCUAGUUAUGAAGAUUUCCUAGUUAUUGGGUCAUCUCCUUUUCAUGGUUGCCUUAGCUUUGGCAUAAUUGGUUGACGAUGAGAGAGAGCACACUUGUUAGCAUUCAUGCUGUGGGCAUGGCUGUCUACAGGUGUGCUUUCUAUCGUCGUCAUACAAUAUGCUCAAAGAAGGUUUUAUGUUUAUUGGCACAUGGCUGAGAAAAUGAUCCUAACAUCUUGCUAUAGCUGGAACUCAGGUUUUGAUUUUCUCUGAUUCAGACUUUAUGGUACCUUUAGCUGACUACAUUAUGCAUUACUCAUGUUAUUAUUAGCUUUUGAUGCUUACUUUGAUAGGAGACUAAUAUCUUGCAGUAAAAUGAUUUCGUUUGCUUGUUGAUUGAGAAGUGAACAGUUGUUUUAAAUUAGUAGCAGAUGUAAGACAACAGUGAAGAGAGAUCAUCCUAUUGCUGAUGUGGGCUGUAAAUGCUGUAAGUAGGUCUUUUUUUCUUGCUUGUUUGAAACAUUGUAUGGGCGAUCAAUUUGUUUCCCUUUGGAUCUCAUGUACUACUAAUUCAUUUACCUUUCUCCUCCUCCUCCCGCCCCACCCCUUCCCCAAAAUUAAUAAUAAUAAUAAUAAUAAUAAUAAUAAUCAUUGGUGCAUAGUUAGGCACUUUGGCUACUUCAUAGAAGAUAAAAGUGCAAGCUUCAACUCAUAUUGAGUGGUAUUAGUAUCACCUGUAUUUGAGCAUUUGUUUGUAUAGUGAAAGUUAAGACAAUUUAUUCUCAACUAUAUUUUCUACAAUGUGUGACCUUGAACUUUUACUUAUGGGUGUUUCAGUUUUCAGUUUGUGUCUGCCUUAGAACCCAAACUGAACCGAACUUUCGGUA